UGAUUUUGUAAACCUUGCGGUGCCCUGGCUGGUCAGUCCUGCCGGGCUUAAAAGGGAAUCCGGUGAAAAUCCGGAACAGUUCCCGCUGCUGUAAUCCCCUUCCGGUCUUCGGACCGGAACAUCACAGUCUGCAGAGAGAGCCACUGUCGCGCACCCCGCGCAACGGGAAGGCCUGCAGACCGGGGGAGAGUCAGAAGACCUGCCGUAAUGGAGAAUGCUUC
rnacentral:ncRNA from 2 species